UUUUGAAGUCGAAUUCUAGGGCUGCACUUCCCAAUAGGUAGCUCUUAGCCACAGGUUGCUAUUACUUUUUUUUAAAGUGGCUAUUAGAAAAUUUCAAAUUGUAUAUGUGGUUCACAUUAUAUUUUUAUUGAACAGCACUGCCCUAGAGUCUGGGACGUUUUGGUUUGGCCUUUUUUUUGUUUUUGGUUUACACAUGUAGGCAUGAAAGUUUAGAUAUCAAACUCAAUUUAGUUUCUCCUCUUACCGUCACAGGGAAGGAAGCCUGUCUCUAGAGGAAACUUGUAUUAUUUUUGCUAAGAAUAAACUGAAAUCAGAAAGCUGUUAAAUGACCAAAAAUUUUGAAUGUCUCUCCCAUCCUGGAACAAUUUUAGUGCAAUGUCUAGAUUUCAAGGGAAGGCUAGAUUAGUUCCUGUUUCCAGAAAAACCUUUCAACCAUAUAUAUUAAUCAGUGAGUCUAGUCACUAAUCUUGUGUAUUUUCCUUCCAAUAGGAAUUAAACUAGGCCCUGCAUUCAAUUAUUAGUGAGUUGACAUCCAUGAUUGCAACAUUCUCCUCUCCUCCCCCUAUAUCUGAAGUGAAAAUACAUCAUGCUAGAUGCCUGAUUAGCCAGAGGCUGUCAGUAUCCAACAGCAGACAAAUUCCUCAGCUUCAGCCCUGCUAAUGUUAUUGACUUUCAUCUGCCUGUGGCUUUUAUUUGCUCUCUUGCUAUCAGGCUUGGAUGGGCUAGAUCUCACAGUAAGCUUGAGACACCUCUAAAAAUUGUUCCCGCUUUUGUGUACCAUAAUCCUGAUUUAGUGAUAUACAGGGUAUAUUUACCCUGGGUCUUGAAUUCUGUGGAGCAAUUACUGGGAAAUUAUGUGUAUGUGUAUGUAGUCCACUUUGAAGGGUGGUGGUUGAUUAGAGAGGCUAGAUGUAUUUUAGAAUCAACUAUUAAAAUAUAUGGAAAUCUAGCACUGAUGGACUCAUUAGGUAUUUUAAAGGAGAUGGAUCCUCCCAUUUUGGAUGCUGCUUCUCAAGAUUUUAAUUUAUCUACGUUUUGUGCCAUUUGGGGCCAAGAAAUGAAGGCAGUUCCCUUUCGUGCUCAUUAACAAUUUCAUAAUCUAAAAUUCUUCACUAAAUCGGGUAGGAAAUUAACUCUGCCGUCAAAGAAGCCAUAAGGACCAGUGCAACACUCUGGCUUUACUGCAUCACAUUUUUUCUUCCACUUGUUACCUAGAAUGUUAACAUUAGCAGUGUUUAUGUAGUCUGAGCAUAAGACUGGGCUAUGCAUUUGACUCACAGGGUGUCUUAUGUCCUCACUUAUAACGUGGGAAUAACAUGUACUUCUUGGGCUCUGGUGUGGAUAAUUUUGCAUUGUUUGCAUUGUUCUUUGAGAUCACAAAAGAAAAAUAAGUUUAUGUGCUGUAACAUGUUCUUAUUUUAGUGAUUGGUGAAUUAUUCUCUGUAACCUGACUUCUGCCCAAUGAGUGGACCUUCCCCAACAAUCUCCCAACUCCUUAUGAGUAGUUGAGUCUGAUAGGUUGUUCAAAUACCUUGUGUAAAGAGUGUAACUGUUUUGUAACUGAAAUUUGCUGUGGGUAAUUUUGGUAAUAUGUCUAUAAACAUUUUUAUUUUUUUAAAUAUAAAAAUCUAUUUUUAAACCAUUUUGGCUUUUUCUGUUUUCCCACUCAUUCUUCCUGAAAUCUGACUUCAAGAAUUUUCCUUCUCUGAUUAAGCAGUGAGUGGAAAAAACAAAGGCUUUAGAGUCCCACAAGUGCAAUUCAAAUCUGACUCCAAAUCUGCCACUUAGUGUUGGCAUGACCAUUAGAAAUUAUUAAUUUAUGUGAGCCUUAGUGCUCUCAUAUAUAAAGUAGGGAUGAUGAAACCAACUGUAGUAAAGUGGCCAACACAUAAUAGGAUCACAAGAGAAGGAAGAAUACAUCAUACUCUUAAUGGGAGGAGGAAUUAGUAUAUUAAGUAUCACUAAGAUAUCCCCUAGCAUGCCCUCUCUAUAAUUCUUUCUCAGAGUAUCCAGGAACCUUCCCGGCAAAGGUGCUACUCAAUAACUGUCUUGUUGACCUACAUUUCAUGAGGCGAAUACAGACCUGUUUCAGCUUAGGAAAUAUAAAUUUAAUUAAUGCAGGUCUCACAAACUCGUAUAAUUGGUUGCCUCACAGUUGGGAUAUUAAGUGGCUGAAGAGCAGUGAGAAGGAGAGAAACUCUUUAUGCAUUCCUGUAAUUCUUGAAUUUUGAAACAUAGCUUCUUCAUCUUCGGAACUAGUUGUGAGCUGUGGCGAGCCAUCUAUUUGCUUGAGUAAGCGUUCAGGAAGCCAGCGAGGUCCAGGCGCUGACCUGGGAAAGAUACACACGUGACCACGUCCCCAAAUCAACACAGAAUCAGGACCAUGCCAAGUGCUGGUUAACGGAUCUUUCCAGAGGACCUCCGGAGACUGAGAGGCCAAUCUUGGCUCAGCCACCAACCUCUCCCCUGCAGAGCGGCCAAAUUUGUCAACAGUGAGAAAAUUUAAAAUAAACAGAGCAUGAUUUAUAA